GUGGACUUCAGCGUUUACAUAAGGAGGGCCUUUGAUAUCUGUUCACCUCUGCUUUUUAGUAGCCCAAGUCGCCGAGGCAAGGGAUGAGAGUUUGCCUACUUGCUUGAAAGGAGAAGGAACAAAAAAACUAAAGGGAGAACAAUACAAUUUAAAAGUAUUUUAGUGAAUUUGCCUGCCACGUCUGCAUGAUCUUACCAAACCCCACCUUUCAAGGGAGGUGUUCUUUCUCCUAUUUCAAUGAGAGGGAAACCGAGGUUUAGAGAAGCCAACCGAGUAACUUGCUCAAAGUCAGUUGUGUUUACAGCAAAGCCAGGAUUUAAAAUGAGGAGAGUUUCACUCCAAAAUAGUUUUAUUCAUCACACUGUGCUUUCCCUCAGGCACACAAAAAAAGGAUGUUCAGAGUUUUCUAAGCAUGGAGUACGAUGACCAGAAUGGAUCAUCCAUUGUGCAGCCCAAUUAUGUGACACCCCACGCACCCGCCCCAAGUCGCCGGAGGUGGGAGAGCACUUCAUCCUCCUCCCGGGCCCUGUUGCUCCCUGGGGAGGCCAGCUGGUCCCCGGGAAGAAUUUUUGCCCUCGUGAGGAAGCAGGUAGCGGAGGUCACCGGCUGCUUCCCCUGGACUGGCUGCCCCUACACGGGGUCAGGCUGGGGAACUGAAAUUGUAAAGCAGAGGUCUGUGUGGAGCCUUUGAAUAUUUUCUUAAACAGCCAGUGAUGGAAACUUUCGAUAACAGCUCGAGUAAAGGCUGAUGGCUGUAAGAGUAUCCUCCGUGGAUGGGACUGGAAAGGAAUCUCUGCUGCUUGUGGCCCGGCUGCCUGAGCCGGUGGUCUUCGCCCACCAUCUGGGAUCCUCGUGGUGGGUUCUGCUGCCCGAAGCCUCGGUUGUCAUCAAUCAACCUGCACCCCCACAGGCCUUCCGGGCUUCGGGGGAUUUUGAAGCCAAAGAAAUGGGAAGGGGGACUCUCUUGGGGGGGUCUUCUUGAUGGCCCACCAGCUGGCACCCCCCGGCCACGGAGAGGCCCACGGAGGCCUCAGGAGGCUGGAGCACAGCAGUCACUGGGUCACUGCCCAGGUGCACCGACCCUGGCAGGGGGGCCCGGCCCUCCAGAAUCCAAAGGCCAAGGAAGAAGAACUCCAGAACUUAGAAUUCCUCUUCAUAGAAGGAGUUGUAGAAACCAAGUAGCAAUGAGGGUCACUCAACUGGAGCAGCUCUACGUGCUCUCCUACCAUGACAGCUUUUUGAGAAAAGACACACAGAGAGAGGCAGAGACACAGGCAGAGGGAGAAGCAGGCUCCAUGCAGGGAGCCCGACGUGGGACUCGAACGUGGGUCAGACACCGUGGUAAGACUGCCAGCUACAUACUAGCUUUUUAAAUUAAUUUUUUAAAAAGAUUUAUUUAUUUAUUUGAGAGAGAUGGAGAGAGAGAGCAUGUGUGCAUGUGAUUGGUUGGCAAGGUGGAGGGAGAGGGAGAAAGAAACUCAAGCUGAUUCCUGGCUGACACAGGGCUUGAUCUUACAACCCUGAGGUCAGACCUGAGUCGAAUCCAAGAGUCGAUGCUUAACUGACCGCACCACCCAGGCGCCCCUGUUUUUUAUUUUUUUUCUAUGAUGUAAUUAUCUGCUGAUUUUUGCAUAGUACUAAAACUCUGUUUUGUCCUUUAAAGAAAGAAACAACAUUUCUACUUUCUUUUUUUUUUUUUUAUUUAUUUAUGAUAGUCACACAGAGAGAGAGAGAGAGGCAGAGACACAGGCAGAGGGAGAAGCAGGCUCCAUGCACCGGGAGCCCGACGUGCGAUUCGAUCCCGGGUCUCCAGGAUCGCGCCCUGGGCCAAAGGCAGGCGCCAAACCGCUGCGCCACCCAGGGAUCCCCAUUUCUACUUUCUAACUCAUAAUGAGCUUUGAUAUGCUACUUUGCCAGCAGAAUUAAUAAAAAAUUUUAUUUUAAUUUUUAAGACCUAUUU
ensembl:lncRNA